rnacentral:rRNA from 1 species
GACGGAGGAUGCAAGUGUUAUCCGGAAUCACUGGGCGUAAAGCGUCUGUAGGUGGUCAAAUAAGUCAACUGUUAAAUCUUGAGGCUCAACCUCAAAAUCGCAGUCGAAACUAUUAGACUAGAGUAUAGUAGGGGUAAAGGGAAUUUCCAGUGGAGCGGUGAAAUGCGUAGAUAUUGGAAAGAACACCGAUGGCGAAGGCCCUUUACUGGGCUAUUACUAACACUCAGAGACGAAAGCUAGGGUAGCAAAUGGG